GACGAACGCUGGCGGCUUGCUUAACACAUGCAAGUCGAACGAAGUGGCGAACGGGUGAGUAACGCGUAAUCAACCUGCCCUUCAGAGGGGGACAACAGUUGGAAACGACUGCUAAUACCGCAUACUGAAGGAGGGGAUUGCGUCUUAUUAGCUAGUUGGAGGGGUAACGGCCCACCAAGGCGAUGAUCAGCAGCCGGUAUGGAAGGAUGAACGGCCACAUUGGGGCGGAGACACGGCACAGACCCCUACGGGGGGCAGCAGUGGGGAAUCUUCCGAAAUGGAAGAAAGUCUGACGGAGCAACGCCGCGUGAGAGAUGACGGCCUUCGGGUUGUAAAGCUCUGUUAAUCGGGACGCGGUACCGGAAUAGAAAGCCACGGCUAACUACGUGCCAGCAGCCGCGGUAAUAC
rnacentral:rRNA from 1 species